rnacentral:rRNA from 1 species
AGCGAAGGUGUUGAGGUUAAUAACCUCAGCAAUUGACGUUACCCGCAGAAGAAGCACCGGCUAACUCCGUGCCAGCAGCCGCGGUAAUACGGAGGGUGCAAGCGUUAAUCGGAAUUACUGGGCGUAAAGCGCACGCAGGCGGUCUGUCAAGUCGGAUGUGAAAUCCCCGGGCUCAACCUGGGAACUGCAUUCGAAACUGGCAGGCUAGAGUCUUGUAGAGGGGGGUAGAAUUCCAGGUGUAGCGGUGAAAUGCGUAGAGAUCUGGAGGAAUACCGGUGGCGAAG